UACGUAGGUGGCAAGCGUUGUCCGGAAUUAUUGGGCGUAAAGCGCGCGCAGGCGGUUCCUUAAGUCUGAUGUGAAAGCCCACGGCUCAACCGUGGAGGGUCAUUGGAAACUGGGGAACUUGAGUGCAGAAGAGGAAAGUGGAAUUCCAAGUGUAGCGGUGAAAUUCGUAGAUAUCAGGAGGAACACCAGUGGCGAAGGCGGCUUUCUGGACGGUAACUGACGCUGAGGCGCGAAAGCGUGGGGAGCAAACAGG
rnacentral:rRNA from 1 species